AACUGCUCAGUAACACAUGAUCAACUUACCCUAUAGAGGAAAAUAACCUCGGGAAACUGAGGAUAAUGUUCCAUAGUUGAAUCGGCUUGGAAAAGUUUUUCAAUUAAAGGGAUAAGGAAAAUGGUUCUUAUCUGCUAUAGGAUAGGAUCGUGCCCGAUUAUGGUUGUUGGUGAGGUAAAGGCUCACCAAGCCGAUAAUCGAUAGGGGCCGUGAGAGCGGGAGCCCCGAGAUGGGUACUGAGACAACGACCCAGGCCUUACGAGGCGCAGCAGGCGCGAAACCUCCGCAAUACACGAAAGUGUGACGGGGUUACCCAAAGUGUUCUAUUUAGAACUGUGGUAGGUGAGUAAUGUCCCCUACUAGAAAGGAGAGGGCAAGGCUGGUGCCUGCCGCCGCGGUAAAACCAGCUCUUCAAGUGGUCGGGAUAAUUAUUGGGCUUAAAGUGUCCGUAGCCGGUUUAGUAAGUUCCUGGUAAAAUCGGGUAGCUUAACUAUCUAUAUGCUAGGAAUACUGCUAUACUAGAGGGCGGGAGAGGUCUGAGGUACUACAGGGGUAGGGGUGAAAUCUUAUAAUCCUUGUAGGACCACCAGUGGCGAAGGCGUCAGACUGGAACGCGCCUGACGGUGAGGGACGAAAGCCAGGGGAGCGAACCGGAUUAGAUACCCGGGUAGUCCUGGCCGUAAACGAUGCAUACUAGGUGAUGGCUCGGCCAUGAGCCGUGUCAGUGCCGUAGGGAAACCGUUAAGUGUGCCGCCUGGGAGGUACGGUCGCAAGGCUAAAACUUAAAGGAAUUGGCGGGGGAGCACCACAAGGGGCGAAGCCUGCGGUUCAAUUGGAGUCAACGCCGGA
rnacentral:rRNA from 1 species